rnacentral:rRNA from 1 species
CUUAUAUUCUGUAGCAAGGUUAACCGUAUAGGGGAGCCGUAGGGAAACCGAGUCUUAACUGGGCGAAUGAGUUGCAGGGUAUAGACCCGAAACCCGGUGAUCUAGCCAUGGGCAGGUUGAAGGUUGGGUAACACUAACUGGAGGACCGAACCGACUAAUGUUGAAAAAUUAGCGGAUGACUUGUGGCUGGGGGUGAAAGGCCAAUCAAACCGGGAGAUAGCUGGUUCUCCCCGAAAGCUAUUUAGGUAGCGCCUCGUGAACUCAUCUUCGGGGGUAGAGCACUGUUUCGACUAGGGGGUCAUCCCGACUUACCAACUCGAUGCAAACUACGAAUACCGAAGAAUGUUAUCACGGGAGACACACGGCGGGUGCUAACGUUCGUCGUGAAGAGGGAAACAACCCAGACCGCCAGCUAAGGUCCCAAAGUCAUAGUUAAGUGGGAAACGAAGUGGGAAGGCUCAGACAGCCAGGAUGUUGGCUUAGAAGCAGCCAUCAUUUAAAGAAAGCGUAAUAGCUCACUGGUCGAGUCGGCCUGCGCGGAAGAUGUAACGGGGCUAAACUAUGCACCGAAGCUGCGGCAGCGAUAUGUAAAUAUUGUUGGGUAGGGGAGCGUUCUGUAAGCCUGUGAAGGUGUACUGUGAGGUAUGCUGGAGGUAUCAGAAGUGCGAAUGCUGACAUAAGUAACGAUAAUGCGGGUGAAAAACCCGCACGCCGGAAGACCAAGGGUUCCUGUCCAACGUUAAUCGGGGCAGGGUGAGUCGACCCCUAAGGCGAGGCAGAAAUGCGUAGUCGAUGGGAAACGGGUUAAUAUUCCCGUACUGGUGAUAAUUGCGAUGGGGGGACGGAGAAGGCUAGGCUGGCCGGGCGACGGUUGUCCCGGUUUAAGGAUGUAGGCAGGUGAA